UGGGGAAUUUUCCGCAAUGGGCGAAAGCCUGACGGAGCAAUACCGCGUGAGGGAUGAAAGCCUGUGGGUUGUAAACCUCUUUUCUCAAGGAAGAAAUUCUGACGGUACUUGAGGAAUAAGCAUCGGCUAACUCU
rnacentral:rRNA from 1 species